rnacentral:rRNA from 1 species
GAUGAACGCUGGCGGCGUGCCUAAUACAUGCAAGUCGAGCGAACAGACGAGGAGCUUGCUCCUCUGACGUUAGCGGCGGACGGGUGAGUAACACGUGGAUAACCUACCUAUAAGACUGGGAUAACUUCGGGAAGCCGGAGCUAAUACCGGAUAAUAUAUUGAACCGCAUGGUUCAAUAGUGAAAGACGGUUUUGCUGUCACUUAUAGAUGGAUCCGCGCCGCAUUAGCUAGUUGGUAAGGUAACGGCUUACCAAGGCAACGAUGCGUAGCCGACCUGAGAGGGUGAUCAGCCACACUGGAACUGAGACACGGUCCAGACUCCUACGGGAGGCAGCAGUAGGGAAUCUUCCGCAAAGGGCGAAAGCUUGACGGAGCAACGCCGCGUGAGUGAUGAAGGUCUUCGGAUCGUAAAACUCUGUUAUUAGGGAAGAACAAAUGUGUAAGUAACUAUGCACGUCUUGACGGCACCUAAUCAGAAAGCCACGGCUAACUCCGUG